rnacentral:lncRNA from 1 species
CUAGAAUGUACCCAGUAUCUUAGUGUUUCUAUUGCUGUGAUAAAUGAGAUAGCCAAAAGCAACUUUGGGGAGGAAAGUAUUUCUUUCAUCUUAGAACUCUCAGGUCACACUCCAUCUCAGAGAAGUAGAGGCAGGAACUGAAGCAGAAGCCAUGGUGGAGUGCUGCUUACUGGCUGGCUCUCCCUAUGGUUUGUUCAGCCUGAUUUCUUCUACCAUCCAGGACCUGCUCAGGGGUAGCACUGUCUAUAGUGAUCUGAGCCCACCCACAUCAGUCAUUGAUUAAGAACUGCACUGUAGACUUGCCUAUUGUUCAUUCUUAUGGAGACAUUUUUCUUUCAGUUCAGAGUCCUUCCCACAUGACUAGCUGUGUCAGGUAGACAUAAAACUGGCCAGUACAGUUGAAGCAUGUAUCCUUUUUGCAGAUCUGGGGCACAGUGCUGUACUAGCAGUAUGGUCCUGCCCCCUCUUCUGGGUCAUCUCUCCCCAGGCAGAGUCUCCUUAGGGUCUGUGUGCCGCAGGAGUCAGAAUCACAGCUUCUUCAGCCAUGAAAUUGUCAAAAUUUUCCCAGUUCCUACCUCUCCUCCCUAACUUCUCCACCUCUCAGAAUGGAAGACAUCUUUCAGAGAUGCUCCCCCAACAGGCUUAUCUGGGCCCAGGAUGCCGUACAUGUGUGCCAGCAUCCAUUAUCUGUAAUUGUCACAGUUCUGUGUCUUCCAGGGUCACCCUCAAGUUCAGGAUUUGGAGGGUGGAUAAGUCACUGAAAAGAUACCUGUCUCUGAUGCAAAUGUUUUUUUCUAGGUGACUGAAACUGGCUUUGGCCUGAUCUUGUCACUAUAGAUCCACCUCAGAGAUUCUGCCCCCGGAACAAAAUGCCACUCUUCCCAUUCAGCAGCCCCUAUUCCCAUCAGCACAGAGAUCAACAGUUCAUUGGUAUUUCAACUCCGCACUGCAGGGAGAAGCCAGGUUUCUGAGACAGUGGAUCCUCCCUUCUGACCACCCACUCACUUACCCUUCCUGGGAAAAUUUCUUCUUCACUCAGGUGGAGGGAGAAUCCAUCAGUCAGCAAGGAGAUGCACACUCAUGACCGGAUUAUCUGCAGAGACCUUGGCUGCCACAGAGGAGCAGAUUGUAGCCACUGCAGUAUCUGGAGUGACACCUACUGACUGUGUGAAUCCAGACAACUCAUUUCAACUCUGAGCCCAGAUGGGCAUUUGUAAAAUGGAAAUAGUGACCCAGCUUCUAGUCUAGUUGUAAAUGCCUUUUCCUCCCUGCUCACCUUCUAUAGAUGAACCAAGAAUCUGUGUCCAGAGCAGGGGGUGGUGGUCACAAGCAAG